UUAUGAUGGUGAUAAUGAUGAUGAUGAUGUUUGUGGUGAUCAUCAUCAUCAUCAUAAUUUUAU
rnacentral:miRNA from 1 species